UACGUAGGGGGCAAGCGUUGUCCGGAAUCAUUGGGCGUAAAGAGCGCGUAGGCGGUCCGGUAAGUCGGUUGUGAAAACUGGGGGCUCAACCCUCAGAGGCCGACCGAUACUGUCGGGCUAGAGUCCGGAAGAGGCGAGUGGAAUUCCUGGUGUAGCGGUGGAAUGCGCAGAUAUCAGGAGGAACACCAAUAGCGAAGGCAGCUCGCUGGGACGUUACUGACACUGAGGCGCGAAAGCGUGGGGAGCGAACAGG
rnacentral:rRNA from 1 species